rnacentral:rRNA from 1 species
GUCCUUAGUUACCAGCACGUUAUGGUGGGCACUCUAAGGAGGACUGCCGGUGGACAAACCGGAGGAAGGUGGGGAUGACGUCAAGUCAUCAUGACCCUUACGGCCUGGGCUACACACGUGCUACAAUGGUCGGUACAAAGGGUUGCCAAGCCGCGAGGUGGAGCUAAUCCCAUAAAACCGAUCGUAAUCCGGAUCGCAGUCUGCAACUCGACUGCGUGAAGUCGGAAUCGCUAGUAAUCGUGAAUCAGAAUGUCACGGUGAAUACGUUCCCGGGCCUU